CUCUACGGCCAUACCACCCUGAAUGCGCCCGAUCUCGUCUGAUCUCAGAAGCUAAGCAGGGUCGGGCCUGGUUAGUACUUGGAUAGGAGAAGGCAUGAAGGUGAAGAAUAGUGGAACUGGAAAGU
rfam:Felis catus isolate Cinnamon breed Abyssinian chromosome C1, whole genome shotgun sequence.